rnacentral:rRNA from 1 species
AUUGAACGCUGGCGGCAGGCUUAACACAUGCAAGUCGAUCGGAGAUGAGGUGCUUGCACCUUAUCUUAGCGGCGGACGGGUGAGUAAUGCUUAGGAAUCUGCCUAUUAGUGGGGGACAACAUUCCGAAAGGAAUGCUAAUACAGCAUACGCCUUACGGGGGAAAGCAGGGGAUCUUCGGACCUUGCGCUAAUAGAUGAGCCUAAGUCGGAUUAGCUAGUGGGGGGGGUAAAGGCCUACCAAGGCGACGAUCUGUAGAGGGUCUGAGAGGAUGAUCCGCCACACUGGGACUGGAACACGGCGCAGAGUCCUACGGGAGGCAGCAGUGGGGAAUAUUGGAAAAUGGGCGGACGUCUGAUCUAGCCAUGCCGCGUGUGUGAAGAAGGCCUUUUGGUUGUAAAGCACUUUGAGCGAGGAGGUGGCUACCUGGAUUAAUACUCUAGGAUAGUGAACGUUACUCGCAGAAUAAGCACCGGCUAACUCUGUGCCAGCCGCCGCCGUAAUAC